AGAGUUUGAUCCUGGCUCAGAUUGAACGCUGGCGGCACGCUUAACACAUGCAAGUCGAACGGGCGAGGGACUUGUCCCUCGCUAGUGGCGGACGGGUGAGUAAUGCGUAGGGAUUUUUCCUGAAGAGUGGGAUAACCUAGGGAAACUUGGGCUAAUACCGCAUACUAUUCUGAGGAAGAAAGGCUGGGGACCCGCGAGGG
rnacentral:rRNA from 1 species